ensembl:snRNA U2 U2 spliceosomal RNA
AUCGCUUCUCGGCCUUUUGGCUAAGAUCAAGUGUAAAAAAUUUUCUUUAUAUUCAUCCCACUAUUAUGAGAUUCAUGGAAUGAUAACGCAAUAUGGAAAGUUCCUCAGUAAGGAAUUUUUAUGAUGGUAAUUGCUCUUUCUGUAAUAAAAAAAAACUGGUU